rnacentral:rRNA from 1 species
GUAAUUCGGGGGCGGACGCCGGGGUAGUACAGAGGGGGCGACCGUUAAUCGGAAUGACUGGGCGUAAAGCUAGUGUAGGUUGCUCAUUAAGUCAGAUGUGAAAUCCCCGGGCUUAACCUGGGAACUGCAUGUGAUACUGGUGGUGCUAGAAUAUGUUAGAGGGAAUUAGAAUUCCAGGUGUAGCGGUGAAAUGCGUAGAGAUCUGGAGGAAUACCGAUGGCGAAGGCAGCUUCCUGGCAUAAUAUUGACACUGAGAUUCGAAAGCGUGGGUAGCAAACAGGAUUAGAUACCCGUGUAGUC